rnacentral:rRNA from 1 species
AACGAACGCUGGCGGUGUGCCUUAGGCAUGCAAGUCGAACGGUUCCGAGUCGCAAGAUUCGGGAUAGUGGCAGACGGGUGAGUAUAAGGUAGGAAUCUACCUCUUGGUGGGGAAUAAUCCGGCGAAAGCUGGACUAAUACCGCAUAACUUUGCAAGAAAAAAGAGCUUAACUGCUCGCCGAGAGAUGAGCCUGCCCGCUAUCAGCUUGUUGGUAAGGUAAUGGCUUACCAAGGCUAUGACGGCUAGGGGGCGUGAGAGCGUGGCCCCCCACAAGAACACUGAGACACGGGUUCUACACCUACGGGUGGCAGCAACCGGGAAUUUUGCGCAAUGGACGAAAGUCUGACGCAGCAACACCGCGUGCGGGAUGAAGGCCUUCGGGUCGUAAACCGCUGUGGAAGGAGAGCAAGCUCUGAGAGUAUCCUUCUAGAAAGCACCUGCUAACUACGUGCCAGAAGCCUCGGUAAUACGUAGGGUGCAAGCGUUGUCCGGAAUUACUGGGUGUAAAGGGAGCGCAGGCGGGUCUAUAAGUCGACGGUGAAAUCUUCCAGCUCAACUGGAAAACUGCCGCCGAUACUGUAGAUCUUGAAUAUGUCAGAGGGAAACGGAAUUCAUGGUGUAGCGGUGAAAUGCGUAGAUAUCAUGAAGAACACCAGUCGCGAAGGCGGUUUCCUGGGACAUUAUUGACGCUCAUGCUCGAAAGUGUGGGGAGCAAACAGGAUUAGAUACCCUGGUAGUCCACACCUUAAACGAUGAAUACUAGGUGUCGGGUCGAAAGACUCGGUGCCAAAGCUAACGCAUUAAGUAUUCCACCUGGGGAGUACGAUCGCAAGGUUGAAACUCAAAGGAAUUGACGGGGGCCCGCACAAGCAGUGGAGCAUGUGGUUUAAUUCGAUGCAACGCGAAGAACCUUACCAGGGUUUGAAAAGCAAGAUUUCAGAGGAUGAAAGUCCUUUACCCGCAAGGGGUCUUGUACAGGUGCUGCAUGGCUGUCGUCAGCUCGUGCCGUGAGGUGUUAGGUUAAGUCCUGCAACGAGCGCAACCCCUACAUUUAGUUGCUACCAGGUAAUGCUGAGCACUCUAAAUGGACUGCCUACGCAAGUAGAGAGGAAGGUGGGGAUGACGUCAAGUCCUCAUGGCCCUUACACCCUGGGCCACACACGUGCUACAAUGGUAACUACAGAGGGCUGCAAUACCGCAAGGUGGAGCCAAUCCCAAAAAAGUUAUCUCAGUUCAGAUCGAGGGCUGAAACUCGCCCUCGUGAAGCUGGAAUUGCUAGUAAUCGCAGAUCAGAACGCUGCGGUGAAUACGUUCCCGGGCCUUGUACACACCGCCCGUCAAGCCAUGGAAGCUGAGGGUACCCGAAGCCGCUGCGCUAACCCGCAAGGGAAGCAGGCGUCUAAGGUAAAAUCAGUGACUGGGG